GAUGAAAUUUUUUGUAUAUUUCUCUUUAAAAAUAACAUAAGUUUAGAUGCAAUAAAGUUCGACUUGCCCAAUUUGAAUUGAGAAGUGUCACCAGAAAUAAUUCAUUUGAUUAAAUUAACAACUUUAAAUCAACAUUAUUAUGUUCUCAUUGUAUAUAGCCAAUUAAAAGGUUUUUAUAGACGCUUUAGGACGAAAUUCCAUUUACAUUUCGAUAACGUAAGUUUGGAGGCUAUAAAUUAGACUUCCCCAAUUUUGAAUUCAAAACUGGCACCAAAUAUAAUUUAUUUGAUUAUAUUGGCAACUUUUCAUCAACCUUAUUUCAUUUUCAUUAUUUAUAACUAACUAACAGGUUUUUAUAGAUGGUUUUAGAUGAAAUUAUUUGUAUACUACUCUUUAAAAAUAACAUAAGUAUAGAUGCAAUAAAGUUCGACUUGCCCAAUUUGAAUUGAGAAGUGUCUCCAGAAAUAAUUCAUUUGAUUAAAUUAGCAACUUGAUAUCAACAUUAUUAUGUUCUCACUCUAUAUAGCCAAAUAAAAGGUUUUUAUGGACGCUUUUGGACGAAAUUCAUUAUACAUUUCGAUAACAUAAGUUUAGAGGCCAUAAUUUCGACUUCCCCAAUUUUGAAUUCAAAAUGGCAACAAAUAUAGUUUAUUUGAUUAUAUUAGCAAGUUUUUAUCUACAUUAUUACGUUCUCAUUAUUUAUAACUAACUAAUAGGUUUUUCUAGAUGCUUUUUGUCACACCCCGAAAACCGAAGGCGGAAACAUUUUCGGGUUUGACUCCACGUUGAGUAUCAAAUCCAAUGUACAUAUUAAGUAAAGUGAAACAAACAUUACAUUACAUAUUAAAAGUUUUACAAUUUGUUUCAAAAGACAUAGUUUAUACAGUUGUGAUACAUAAUAUAGAUAUUAACAAAAUGAGCGAGCCUUGCACGCACACGAUCCUGAACCAAGUAAGUCUUCGGGUACCUGUACUAUCGUUGACCUGAGAACACAAGCGGUUUGAAAAUCAGCAUAACGCUGGUGAGUUCAUAAGCAGUUUUGUUUUGUGAAAAUGUUUAUAUUUCCUUUCUGUUUCUGAAAAUGUAACACACACCAAGAAAAUCCCAUAUUUUCUUAAAGUUGGUUGUUGUUUCAUAAGAGUAAUGUAUGGUAUAGUUAUCCGGUACAUUGUUUAAUGUCUUUAAUGUAUUAGUGUAUUCCCAAGAAAGUCCCAUACUUUCCUGAAGUGUAGUUAUUGUAAAAGAUGUAAUGUUAUUCAGUUGGUUACUCUUGUCUGAUUAUGUGUAGGUUACCCAGGAAUGCCCCAUGCUUUCCUGUAUGUUUGUUUUCAAUGUAAAAGAUGUAUUCUGUUAGACCUGGUUGUGUACAAGAUUUCCCAGGAAGGUCCCAUACCUUCCUGAAGGUUGGUUAAAAUAUGUAAAAGAUGUAAAAGAUGUAAAAGAUGUAAACUGAAUCCUGGUUAUCUGUAAAAUGUAGUAUAUAGUUCAUUAUUACUAUAAGUAAAUCUCUGUUAUCCUAAUUGCGAGUUCCAUAACCAUACUAAAGACUGAACCUGUGGCAAUAAGUAGUCCACAACCUUGUGGCAAUAAGUAGUCCACAAUUCUUAUGACUUUCGUCACCCUUGAACCAUUUCGGUUCGGCUGUAGCUAGCAGCCAGGUGUGGGGUAGUCAGCCCCGUAUAGAUCUAUACACUCAAGUCACGCUCUCUAAAUCCCAGAGAUUCUGGUUACGGGUGUAGUCCUCCACUCGCGUAUCUCUGUGGAGUGUUCGCCGAGGACGUGUCUCCAAUCAUACGGAAUAACAAAUUUACUAGUAAUAAUAGGAUAAUCCUCCAUUCGCGUACCUCUGUGGAAUGUUACCGAGGACAAGACUGUGUACGAAUUAUAUUGUUUAUGUAUUAUAAUGUCAUGCUUUUAACUGAUAAAAUAUGGAAACCAUUUGUGAAAUAUACUAAACAUAACCGUUUAUAAAUCCAUUUCACAAAUAACUGUUUAAUUGAGCUGUAUAUUCUACUGGUUAUCAGUUACGUGUAUCAGUAUUAAAAGCAUAAGAAAUGUGAAACACACACACGAAAAAUAAUUUUGAGUACAAGAAAACCCUUGUACUUUGCUUGUGUUCCCCCCUGAAAACAGUGAAAAAUAGUGAAAAAGGUAGGGGUAUGAACUCACCGGACUCGGAAAUGUGUCGGUUUUGGAUACUAGAUGUUGAUCCGGGGAUUGUUUACUUGCGAUGCCCUAUGUAAAAUGAAAUAAUGUCCAUAUAUAUACAAUUAGGGAUACAUUCACUAAUCAUAUGGAACAUUACACUCCAACGAGGUUAACACCUCGAAAUGAGCGUUUGGAGUGACCCGGGUGACAUCUUCGGACAUGUAAUGGCACUAGGGACUUGGGACUUGAUUUUACUCUCCAAAAGUAAACAUUUAAAAGAGUUUACAACCAUUGAACACACACCUACAUGAGUUUACGGCCGUAAACUCAUGUGGGUGUGGUUUUGGGUGUUUAAAUGGCUUAAAUGGACAUGGGGAUUGUUGGAAUGGAUUUCUAAAAUGCCUUGGAAUUAAUUGAAUGAAAUUAUAACACUUAAAAGGGAGUUUACGGCCACCCCAUAAGAGUUUACGGCCGUAAACUCACCUAUGGCCUAGGAAAAUUGAUUUGAGCUUCAUAGGACAAUCACAUGUGAUUCUAACUAAUUUUCCAAGCCUUGUUAUGAAUUUAGAACAUCAUUUAACACAUUUAUUGGAGUUUACGGCCUAGAGGUAUGUUCUAAGGCCGUAAACUCUCCUUUACCCAUGAAAAAGAUAGUUUUUGAUGCUUAAAACAAUCACAUGCGAUUAAUAGGAUUUUUCCAAGACCUAACAUGAGUUUUGUGGGACAUUUGAGAGGAGUUAUGGAGUUUACGGCCCAUGAGACCCUCCUCAUGGCCGUAAACUCUUCUAUAGGGUGAUAUAAUGUGUUUCAAGGUCUAAAACUUGCAUAGAAGGGCUUCUAAAAUUCAUCUAUAGGCUUUAGGGGUGUUUAGUUUGCAUUCUAACACCAAAAUUUUUAGAGUUUACGGCCCAAAAACAAGCCUUGGCCGUAAACUCUUAGAAAUCCCACAAAUGAUGUGAUUAAGUCCCUUAAAAUAUUUUUGGUUGGUCCUUUGAUUUAUUCCAAGGCUUUUGGUAGUGUUGGAUGGCUUUCUAAUACCUUAGAAAUGAAUUUAUGCCUUGUUUUGGGGAGUUUACGGCCCAAGCACUCACCUUGGCCGUAAACUCACAUAAGUCCCUCAAAAGUUAUGUUUCAAGUGUCCAAAUNCUCCAAAUCAUUUUUAGAUGAAUCUAGGAUUUACCACAAGGCCAUUGGUUGAGUUUCAAAGCAUUUGGACAUGUUUAAAGGCACUAAAUCCCCAUUAAAGAGGAGUUUACGGCCCAAGAACAUACCUUGGCCGUAAACUCUCUUUUGUCCCUCAUAAUUCAUGUUUUAAUUGUUUUAAGUCUAGAUUUGCAAGCCUUAUAGUCAUAUCUAAGUCCCAACUUUGAUUUGGAAGGGUAAUUUGGCUUAAAAACCCCAUUUAAUGGAGUUUACGGCCCAAGCUUGCUCCUUGGCCGUAAACUCAUGUUCUUGGUCCCAAAACUCAAUUAAUUCAUCAAUUUGAAGGCUAAAGAUGUUGAAUAAUAUGCUAGGGAGGUUACCUUAAAGAUUUGAAGCCUUAAACUUGAGAUUUGGACCUUAAUUCUAGCUUGAGGAGAGAGGUUGUGAGAGUUUAGUGAGAAAUUGGCCAAAGGCUUCAAAUGGAGUCUUAAACAUGUUUAUAUAGUGUUCAGGAAUUGGACACGAUAGAAUUCUACCCGAUACCGAUGUUAAGUGAGGCUUUUAGUCGUACCAGAUUGAGUUACCGUAACCCGAUACGGUAAUUUCUAGAAAUAUUCUGAUCACUAAAGUAGGGUGUUAAAAUGAUUUUCUAAAUGUAUUAAGACACCCAUUAAGUCAUUUUAGGUCAAUAUAAACUAAUGACUUAAUACAAUGGCGAAAUUGGAAACAAAUUGAAGAUGACGUCUGGUUGAUCGGAUUGGAUUACAAGUUGUGGUACAAGAAGUGACAUGAAAUUUCGGGUUGUUACACUUUUGGAUGAAAUUAUUUGUAUAUUUCUCUUUAAAGAUAACAUAAUUUUAGAUGCAAUAAAGUACGACUUGCCUAAUUUGAAUUGAGAAGUGUCAACAGAAAUAAUUCAUUUGAUAAAAUUAGAAACUUUAUAUCAACAUUAUUAUGUUCACUUUCUAUAUAGCCAGUUAACAGGUUUUUAUAGACGCUUUUGGACGAAAUUCAUUAUACAUUUCGAUAACGUAAGUUUAGAGGCUAUAAAUUAGACUUCCCCAAUUUUGAAUUCAGAACUCACACCAAAUAUAAUUUAUUUGAUUAUAUUAGCAACUUUUUAUCAACCUUAUUUCGUUUUCAUUAUUUAUAACUAACUAACAGGUUUUUCUAGAUGCUUAUGGAUGAAAUUAUUUGUAUAUUUCUCUUUAAAAAUAACAUAAGUUUAGAUACAAUAAGGUUCGACUUGCCCAAUUUGAAUUGAGAAGUGUCAACGGAAAUAAUUCUUUUGAUUAAAUUAGCAACUUUAUAUCAACAUUAUUAUGUUCUCACUCUAUAUAGCCAAAUAAAAGGUUUUUGUAGACGCUUUUGGACAAAAGUCAUUAUACAUUUCGAUAACAUAAGUUUAGAAGCCAUAAAUUCGACUUCCCCAAUUUUGAAUUCAAAACUGGCGCCAAAUAUAGUUUAUUUGAUUAUAUUAGCAACUUUUUAUCCACAUUAUUACGUUCUCAUUAUUUAUAACUAACAAAUAGGUUUUUCUAGACGCUUUUGGAUGAAAUUAUUUGUAUAUUUCUCUUUAAAAAUAACAUAAGUUUAGAUGCAAUAAAGUUCAACUUGCCCAAUUUGAAUUGAGAAGUGUCAACAGAAAUAAUUCAUUUGAUUAAAUUUGCAACUUUAUAUCAACAUUAUUAUGUUCUCAUUCUAUAUAGCCAAUUAAAAGGUUUUUAUAGACGCUUUUGGACGAAAUUCAUUAUAAAUUUCGAUAACAUAAGUUUAGAGGCUAUAAAUUCGACUUCCCCAAUUUUGAAUUCAAAAGUGGCACCAAAUAUAACUUAUUUGAUUGUAUUAACAACUUUUUAUCGAAUUUAUUACGUUUUCAUUAUUUAUAACUAACAAACAGGUUUUUCUAGACGCUUUUGGAUGAAAUUAUUUGUAUAUUUCUCUUUAAAAAUAACAUAAGUUUAGAUGCAAUAAAGUUCGACUUGCCCAAUUUGAAUUGAGAAGUGUCAACAGAAAUAAUUCAUUUGAUUAAAUUAGCAACUUUAUAUCAACAUUAUUAUGUUCUCUUUCUAUAUAGCCAAUUAAAAGGUUUUUAUAGAUGCUUUUGGACGAAAUUCAUUAUACAUUUCGAUAACGUAAGUUUAGAGGCUAUAAAUUCGACUUCCCCAAUUUUGAAUUCAAAAGUGGCACCAAAUAUAA
rnacentral:lncRNA from 1 species